rnacentral:pre_miRNA from 1 species
CACUGCAGUACCGCCGUUGAAGCGUUGUGAGUCUUCACCGGGUGUAUUGUAGUGGA